rnacentral:rRNA from 1 species
UACGUAGGGUGCGAGCGUUAAUCGGAAUUACUGGGCGUAAAGCGUGCGCAGGCGGUUCUGAAAGUCAGCUGUGAAAGCCCCGGGCUUAACCUGGGAAUUGCGGUUGAAACUACAGGGCUAGAAUCUGGCAGAGGGGGGUGGAAUUCCACGUGUAGCAGUGAAAUGCGUAGAGAUGCGGAGGAACACCGAUGGCGAAGGCAGCCCCCUGGGCCAAUACUGACGCUCAGGCACGAAAGCGUGGGGAGCAAACAGG